rnacentral:tRNA from 1 species
ACUAUUUUGGCAGAAAAGUGUAAUGAUUUUAGAAGUCAUGAAUAUAUGAUUGAUUUAUUAUAUAGGUAGUA